GCCCGGCUAGCUCAGUCGGUAGAGCAUGAGACUCUUAAUUUCAGGGUCGUGGGUUCGAGCCCCACUUUUAGGGCA